rnacentral:rRNA from 1 species
UACGUAGGGGGCUAGCGUUGUCCGGAAUCAUUGGGCGUAAAGAGCGUGUAGGCGGCCCGGUAAGUCCGCUGUGAAAGUCGGGGGCUCAACCCUCGAAUGCCGGUGGAUACUGUCGGGCUAGAGUGCGGAAGAGGCGAGUGGAAUUCCUGGUGUAGCGGUGGAAUGCGCAGAUAUCAGGAGGAACACCAAUAGCGAAGGCAGCUCGCUGGGACGUUACUGACACUGAGGCGCGAAAGCGUGGGGGAGCGAACAGG